UACGUAGGGGGCAAGCGUUGUCCGGAAUCAUUGGGCGUAAAGAGCGCGUAGGCGGCCCGUAAGUCCGCUGUGAAAGUCAAGGGCUCAACCCUGGAAUGCCGGUGGAUACUGCGGAGGCUAGUGCCGGAAGAGGCGAGUGGAAUUCCUGGUGUAGCGGUGAAAUGCGCAGAUAUCAGGAGGAACACCAGUAGUCGGAAGGCAGCUCGCUGGGACGUGACUGACGCUGAGGCGACGACGAAGCGUGGGGAGCAAACAGG
rnacentral:rRNA from 1 species